UACGGAGGGUGCAAACGUUGCUCGGAAUCAUUGGGCGUAAAGCGCACGUAGGCGGUCCAGCAAGUCGGGUGUGAAAGCCCUCGGCUUAACCGAGGAAGUGCAUUCGAAACUACUGGACUUGAAUACUGGAGAGGAUCGCGGAAUUCCCGGUGUAGAGGUGAAAUUCGUAGAUAUCUGGAGGAACACCGGUGGCGAAGGCGGCGACCUGGUCCUAUACUGACACUCAUACACGAAAGCGUGGGGAUCAAACAGG
rnacentral:rRNA from 1 species